AAGACCUUGCACUUUUGGAGCGGCCGAUGUCUGAUUAGCUAGUUGGUGGGGUAACGGCCUACCAAAGCUUCGAUCAGUAGCUGGUCUGAGAGGACGGCCAGCCACACUGGGACUGAGACACGGCCCAGACUCCUACGGGAGGCAGCAGUGGGAAUUUUGGACAAUGGGCGCAAGCCUGAUCCAGCCAUGCCGCGUGAGUGAAGAAGGCCUUCGGGUUGUAAAGCUCUUUCAGUCGGGAAGAAAAGGUUGCGACUAAUAAUCGCAAUUCAUGACGGUACCGGAAGAAGAAGCACCGGCUAACUACGUGCCAGCAGCCGCGGUAAUACGUAGGGUGCGAGCGUUAAUCGGAAUUACUGGGCGUAAAGGGUGCGCAGGCGGUUUUGUAAGUCAGAUGUGAAAUCCCCGGGCUUAACCUGGGAACU
rnacentral:rRNA from 1 species